ACUGAACCACCUGGGAAGCCCUCUGAAAAAGCCACACAGCUCUAUCGGUCCUGACUCCACUCCCUCAGCAUAGCCUCCAGGAGUCUAAUGUGACAUUCUGGGUAAGAGCCUCAUGCGUGUGCAUAUGACAUCUCCCUUAACGAUGUACGAAAUCGCUGUAUGGAGACAGAUCACCAGCAGGGCGGAGAGGAACCAGCGGGAGACGCCAUCAGCCUGGCAGACUGUGGCCGCCACUGCUACUUCAGAAGAAACGGGCAAGGCUAAGAGGUCCCAGGGGUCUCCAUCUGGAAAGUGCUCAUCCACAAGGGAUGCAAAGAACAUCUGGCCUCAGCGCCCAGACUUGACAACAUCCGACGUCAUUCACACACAGGUUCGCAAGGCAAUGGCUCAUGCGUCCCCCGCUGCUGGGCCCAGGUGAGAAAUCAGCUCCCCCAACAGAAGCGCCAGCUAUUUCUAGGAGAUUCUAAUGGGACUCUGGGCUUCCCUAGUGGCUCAGAGGUAAAGAAACCACCUGCCAAUGCAGGAGAUGAGCGUUUGAUCCCUGGGUUGGAAAGAUUCUCUGGAGAAGGAAAUGGCAACCCACUCCACUAUAUUCUUGCCUGGGAAAUUCCAUGAAACAGAGCAGCCUGGAAGGCUUCAGUCCAUGGGGUUGAAAAGAACUGGACUCAACUUAGUGACUAAACAACAGCAACAACAGCAGUGGGAUUCUGAAAGCACCAGAGCCUGAUGAAAUGGGAGAAAGAAUUUCUCCCCAAGUUGAUGCCACACUCUGCCUACAAGGUACUGAAGUCCCCUCACAGAGCUUCUUGUAAUCACCUCUGGAUCUCACGGACCAUGCAUCAAGGGCUUUCAUAACAACUGUUUGUUCCUGUGACCACUAGACCUCUACAGAUCAGGCAACUGAGUGACAGAGAAGUUAAGAAACCUGCCUCAGAGUCAGCUUCAUCCAGCUCAAAGGUGGAAGGAGAGAGACUGCAGGUGACUAAUCCAUGGGACUUUCAUGCGCUACACUUGGAAAAGUCAUACAUCACUCUGAUGCUCCUGUGCUCAGUUGCAUCUGACUCUUUGCAACCCCAUGGACUGUAGCCCACCAGGCUCCUCUGUCCAUGGGAUUUUCC
ensembl:lncRNA